GUGUCAGCAGCCGCGGUAAAACGUAGGAGGCUAGCGUUAUCCGGAUUUACUGGGCGUAAAGCGCGUGCAGGCGGUGUUCUAAGUUGGGCAUAAAAUCUCCCGGCUCAACUGGGAGGGGCUGUCCAAUACUGGGGCACUUGAGGGUAGGAGAGGGAAGUGGAAUUCCCGGUGUAGCGGUAAUAUGCGCAGAUAUCGGGAGGAACACCAGUGGCGAAGGCGGCUUCCUGGUCUACACCUGACGCUAAGACGCGAAAGCUAGGGGAGCGAACGGGAUUAGAUACCCCGGUAGUCCUAGCUGUAAACGAUGGAUACUAGGUGUUGGUGGUAUUGACCCCAUCAGCGCCGAAGCUAACGCGUUAAGUAUCCCGCCUGGGGACUACGACCGCAAGGUUAAAACUCAAAUGAAUUGACGGGG
rnacentral:rRNA from 1 species